CCUGCGGAAGGAUCAUUACAGAGAAAAUGCCCUUUGGGGUAUAUCUCCCACCCUUUGUUUACAAUACUUUGUUGCUUUGGCAGGCCCGUCUUAAGGCCACUGGCAAAUUUGCUGGUCAGUGCCUGCCAGAGGACCACAAAACUCUUUUGUAACCUAUUGUCUGAUUAUUUGUAAAAUUAUUAAAACUUUCAACAACGGAUCUCUUGGUUCUGGCAUCGAUGAAGAACGCAGCGAAAUGCGAUAAGUAAUGUGAAUUGCAGAAUUCAGUGAAUCAUCGAAUCUUUGAACGCACAUUGCACCUCUUGGUAUUCCAGGAGGUAUGCCUGUUCGAGCGUCAUUGAGACCAACAAGCCUAAGCUUGGUAUUGGAUGUCAUCAUAUAGGUGCACCUUAAAAUUAGGAGCAGUGCUCCCAGCUUCAAGCGCAGUAAUUUUCUCGCUUCUGGAGUCUGGAUAGUUACUGUCUAAACCCCUAAACUAUCACAGUUUGACCUCGGAUCAGGUAGGGAUACCCGCUGAACUUAAGCAUAUCAAUAAGCGGAGGA
rnacentral:rRNA from 1 species